AACGAACGCUGGCGGCAUGCCUAACACAUGCAAGUCGAACGAGACCUUCGGGUCUAGUGGCGCACGGGUGCGUAACGCGUGGGAACCUGCCCUUAGGUUCGGAAUAACUCCCCGAAAGGGGUGCUAAUACCGGAUAAUGUCUUCGGACCAAAGAUUUAUCGCCUUUGGAUGGGCCCGCGUUGGAUUAGCUAGUUGGUAGGGUAAAAGCCUACCAAGGCGACGAUCUAUAGCUGGUCUGAGAGGAUGAUCAGCCACACUGGGACUGAGACACGGCCCAGACCCCUACGGGGGGGAGCAGGGGGGAAUAUUGGAAAAGGGGCAAAAGCCUGAUCCAACAAUGCCCGGGGGGGGAUGAAGGCCUUGGGGUUGAAAAGCUCUUUUACCCGGGAUGAUAAUGACAGUACCGGGAGAAUAAGCCCCGGCUAACUCCGU
rnacentral:rRNA from 1 species